GACGAACGCUGGCGGCGUGCUUAACACAUGCAAGUCGAACGGAAAGGCCCUGCCUUUGUGGGGUGCUCGAGUGGCGAACGGGUGAGUAACACGUGAGUAACCUGCCCUUGACUUUGGGAUAACUUUAGGAAACUGGGGCUAAUACCGGAUAGGAGCUCCUGCUGCAUGGUGGGGGUUGGAAAGUUUGGGCGGUUGGGGAUGGACUCGCGGCUUAUCAGCUUGUUGGUGGGGUAGUGGCUUACCAAGGCUGUGACGGGUAGCCGGCCUGAGAGGGUGACCGGCCACAUUGGGACUGAGAUACGGCCCAGACUCCUACGGGAGGCAGCAGUGGGGAAUAUUGCACAAUGGGCGGAAGCCUGAUGCAGCAACGCCGCGUGCGGGAUGACGGCCUUCGGGUUGUAAACCGCUUUCGCCUGUGACGAAGCGUGAGUGACGGUAAUUGGUAAAGAAGCACCGGCUAACUACGUG
rnacentral:rRNA from 1 species